rnacentral:rRNA from 1 species
UAGGGAAUAUUGGGCAAUGGUCGGAAGACUGACCCAGCCACGCCGCGUGCAGGAGGAAGGCCCUCUGGGUUGUAAACUGCUUUAGCAGGGGAAGAAAAGACGCAUGCGUGCGGCAUUGACGGUACCCUGAGAAUAAGCACCGGCUAACUACGUGCCAGCAGCCGCGGUAAUACGUAGGGUGCGAGCGUUGUCCGGAUUUAUUGGGUUUAAAGGGUGCGUAGGCGGCCAAAUAAGUCAGUGUUAAAAUUUUGCAGCUUAACUGUAGGUAUGGCAUUGAUACUGUUUGGCUUGAAUGUCAUGGAGGUAGCUGGAAUUUAUGGUGUAGCGGUGAAAUGCAUAGAUACCAUAAGGAACACCGAUAGCGGAGGCAUGUUACCACGUGAUGAUUGACGCUGAGGCA